rnacentral:rRNA from 1 species
CGCGUAGGUGGCCUUCUUAGUCAGACGUGAAAUCCCCAGGCUUAACCUGGGAACUGCGUCUGAUACUGGAUGGCUUGAAUUCGGGAGAGGGAUGCAGAAUUCCAGGUGUAGCGGUGAAAUGCGUAGAUAUCUGGAGGAAUACCGGUGGCGAAGGCGGCAUCCUGGACCGAGAUUGACACUGAGGAGCGAAAGCUAAGGGGAGCAAAACG